UCACUUCUCCAGCGUGCCAGUAGCCAUCGAAGCCCUGUUGGAGUCUACACAGUUCAUGUACAGCACUGACAGAGAAUAAGUAGACCAGUACAAUCUCUCAAAAAGACCUGGGGGGCUUGUUGGCAAAUUUGACGUCAAUUUGAUCCUAAUCAAGCACCCUGAAACCUCCUGCUUGCACACAAUGAUUGAACUAACUCAUCAUAGAACAGUCUUCAUAACUGG